AACCACGGCCAUGCCACCCUGCAGCCCAAAACCGCUAUACAGGGCUGAGCCUGGUCAGUACCUGGAUAGGAGACCACAUGGGAAGACUAGAUUGCUGUUGGGA
rnacentral:rRNA from 1 species